CAUCACUACGCUAGAUGCAUAUCAAUAAGCGGAGGAAAAGAAACUAGCAAGGAUUCCCCUAGUAACGGCGAGUGAAGCGGGAAGAGCUCAAAUUUGAAAUCUUAAAAGGUUUUCCUUUUACGAAUUGUAGUUUAAAGAAGUGUUUUCUGUUGAAAGUUUUAGGUACAAGUUCUUUGGAAUAGGACAUCAUAGAGGGUGAGAAUCCCGUAUUUGACCUAAUUUUUCAACUUUGUGAUACACUUUCAAAGAGUCGGAUUGUUUGGGAAUGCAGUCCAAAAUGGGUGGUAAAUUUCAUCUAAGGCUAAAUAUUGGCGAGAGACCGAUAGCGAACAAGUACCGUGAGGGAAAGAUGAAAAGAACUUUGAAAAGAGAGUUAAAUAGUACGUGAAAUUGUCAAAAGGGAAGCGUUUGGCACCAGUGUUGUUUUUCUAAAAAUCAAUUUAAAAUUUGCUAUGCUAAGUAGUUUUAGACUUCAUCAGGCUAUACUAUUUAAUUCUUUGUAAAUUUUGAAUGCACUUUUUAGUUAACAAGUCAACAUCAAUUUCUUUUGUUGUAAAAGAAUAAGAGGAAGGUGGCUUGAGAUUCGUUUCAAGUGUUUAUAGCCUUUUAUUUCUGCAAUAGGAGGGAUUGAGGUCUGCAGCAUAGAUCCUUCGGGGCUAGAUGCAUUUGUGCUAAGAGUCAGUAUUAUAUAGACAACUUGUUGAUUAUAUAAUAUGUUUGAUUUUUACUCGCGAGUGUUAUUUUACCUACGCUUAGGAUGUUGACUGAUAUGUAGUCGUA
rnacentral:rRNA from 1 species